rnacentral:rRNA from 1 species
UACGGAGGGAGCUAGCGUUGUUCGGAAUUACUGGGCGUAAAGCGCACGUAGGCGGCUUUGUAAGUUAGAGGUGAAAGCCCGGAGCUCAACUCCGGAAUUGCCUUUAAGACUGCAUCGCUUGAAUCCGGGAGAGGUGAGUGGAAUUCCGAGUGUAGAGGUGAAAUUCGUAGAUAUUCGGAAGAACACCAGUGGCGAAGGCGGCUCACUGGACCGGUAUUGACGCUGAGGUGAAAGCGUGGGGAGCAAACAGG